rnacentral:rRNA from 1 species
AUGCUGAGGAGGACGCUGCCGAGGCUGGCGUCGGUGAAGGACCGGGUGGCUGGCGCGGCCAAGAGGGCCGUGAAGGGCGACGAGCACUUCCCCGCGCUCAAGGGCCACCCGGCCGCGCGCGUCGACGCACGAGAGGCCGCGGAGAAGCAGGCCGGCCUCGCCGCGGGCGAGGAGGAGAAGAAGAGCGGCGGCAAGGCCGCGACGGUGAAGGAGUUCCAGAUAUACCGGUGGAACCCGGACGCGCAUGGCCGGCCGUUCCUGCAGUCCUACUUCGUCGACCUCGGCACGUGCGGCCCAAUGGUGCUGGACGUGCUCCAGAAGAUCAAGUCGGAGCACGACUCGACGCUGGCGUUCCGGCGGUCGUGCCGGGAGGGCAUCUGCGGCUCCUGCUCCAUGAACAUCGACGGGGUGAACACGGUGGCGUGCCUGAAGCCCAUCGACACCGACACGUCGACGGCGACGAUGAUUACGCCGCUGCCGCACAUGUACGUGGUGAAGGACCUCGUCGUCGACCUCACCAACUUCUACCAGCAGUACAAGUCGAUUGAGCCGUGGCUGAAGACGAAGCGUGGGGCGCCGGAGGGGCGGGAGCACGCGCAGUCACCGGGCGAGCGGCGGAAGCUGGACGGGCUGUACGAGUGCAUCCUCUGCGCGUGCUGCAGCACGGCUUGCCCGUCCUACUGGUGGAACUCCGAGGAUUUCCUUGGCCCGGCCGCGCUGCUCCACGCCUACCGCUGGGUCUCCGACAGCCGCGACGACUACGGGGAGGAGCGGAUCCAGGCGCUGUCGGAGGGGUGGGACAAGCUGUACAGGUGCAGGAUGAUCAAGAGCUGCACGGCGACGUGCCCCAAGAGCCUCGACCCGGCCACGGCCAUCUCCGCCUUGAAGACCAUGCACCAGCUCCGCAAGGCGUGA